UCUAAGUGGAGUAUUAUACAGCGAAACUGCGAACGGCUCAUUACAACAGAUAUAAUUUACUAGUUCUUGAUCCUAUAUGGAUAACUGCGGUAAUUCUGGAGCCAAUACAUGCAUCAAGCCUCGGCCUUCGGGUUCGGGGUGCAAUUAUUGGAGCAAAACCAGUCUUGUACUGUUUGCUAACUCUGGAUAAUUCUGCUUAUCGCAUGGUCUUGUACCGGCGAAGUUUCUUUCAAGUAUCUGCUUUAUCAACUAUCGUUGGUAGUUUAUUGGACUACCAUGGUGUUGACGGGUAACGGAGAAUCAGGGUUUGACUCCGGAGAGGGAGCCUUAGAAACGGCUACCAUGUCUAAGGAUAGCAGCAGGCGCGAAAAUUACCCAAUAUCAAAACGAUGAGGUAGUGACGAGAAAUAACGAGAUCGUUCUCUUUGAGGUCGAUUAUUGGAAUGAGUACAAUCCAGAAAUUUUAACGAGUACCUACGAGAGGGCAAGUCUGGUGCCAGCAGCCGCGGUAAUUCCAGCUCUCGUAAUGUAUAGAAUUAUUGUUGCGAUUAAAAAGUUCGUAGUUGGAUUGUCAAGCGGGUAUGGGUCCAGCUUCGUGCUGCGUACUCAAUACCCGCAUUUUGUUGGUUUUCGCGGCGUCGAUCCGUCGGCGUUCGUGAUGCCAACAGGAUUACUUUGAACGGCUCAAGUGCUUAAAGCGAGUCUUAUGACUGAAUACCGGUGCAUGGAAUAAUGGAACAAGGUUGCGGCCGAGUUUUAUUGGUUUUGUCGGCUGAAACAAUGGUUAACAGGAACAGCCGGGGGCAUUCGUAUCGCUGCGCGAGAGGUGAAAUUCGUGGACCGUAGCGAGACGCCCGACAGCGAAGGCAUUUGCCAAGAGUGUUUUCAUUAAUCAAGAACGAAAGUCAGAGGUUCGAAGGCGAUUAGAUACCGCCCUAGUUCUGACCGUAAACGAUGCCAACUGUCGAUCCGCUUGUGGAUUUUAUUCAUGAGCGGGGAGAUUCCCGGAAACGAAAGUUUUUCGGUUUCGGGGGAAGUAUGGUUGCAAAGCUGAAACUUAAAGGAAUUGACGGAAGGGCACCACCAGGAGUGGAGCUUGCGGCUUAAUUUGACUCAACACGGGAAAUCUCACCCGGCCAGUACAUCGUGAGGAUUGACAGACUGACAGCUCUUUCAUGAUUCGGUGAAUGGUGGUGCAUGGCCGUUCUUAGUUCGUGGAUUGAUUUGUCUGGUUUAUUCCGAUAACGAGCGAGACUUUAACUAUUAAAUAGUGCGUUUGUUGCUUCGGCUGCCGACGAACACUUCUUAAAGGGAUUUGUGGUUUCCAACCUCAAGAAAUUGAGCAAUAACAGGUCUGUGAUGCCCUUAGAUGUUCGGGGCCGCACGCGUGCUACAAUGGUGGUAACAGCGUGAUUGUCCUUUUCCGACAGGAAUUGGCAAACAGUUGAGAUAUUAUUAUGGCUGGAAUUGAGUGUUGAAAUUUUCUCUCAUGAACGAGGAAUUCCAAGUAAAUGUGAGUCAUUAACUUGCAUUGAUUACGUCCCUGCCCUUUGUACACACCGCCCGUCGCUGCCCGGGACUGAGUUACUUCGAGAAAACUAGGGAUCGUUGGAGGUCAAUGCUUCGGUAUUGUCUUCGAUGCGAACUAGUUUAAUCGCAGUGGCUUGAACCGGGCAAAAGUCGUAACAAGGUAGCCGUAGGUGAACCUGCGGCUGGAUCAUUAUCGAUCAUACAACAUUCAUCGAAAACCUUGUUCGUCUUCUGAAUCGAAAACGAAACGUUGUCGUUGUGUCUGCCGACACAGCGGCGAGUGCGUCGUCGGCCUCGGCUGUCGUCGUACUACUUGACUUGAAUUCGCUAACGGCUUCGUUUGGCUUCUGUGGAAGGUUGAGCGGUUGUGUCACACGUCCGUGGCCGCGAAUGAAACCGACCGAUAGCUUGACGUCCGCAAGGGCUUGUCGAGUGAGAAUCAAUGACCCCGAGAGGGCGCCAAACAAACACCCAUUUUCAUUUCAUUUUUUUGCUUGAUUGUAACUUGACAUUGAAAGUUACUCCGGUGGAUCACUCGGUUCGCGGGUCGAUGAAAAACGCAGUGAAUUGCGAUAAGAAGUACGAAUUACAGAUAUUACGAGUACCAUGUUUUUGAAUGCAUAUUGCGUCGUUGGGCUAUGCUCUUCGACAUACGUGAUUCAGGGUAUGUUUCACACUACAUAGAGUUCCAGAUGUUGAUGUUCGUUCGAACGUCUUCUUCUUUUUUGCGAACUACUGCUUCAUUGACAGGCGUCUGUUGUGUUUGAAGGAAACUUUGAGCUUGCAGUCGUUUCAAACAAUGGUCAGGUUUUCGGACUUGAAAGUGUGUUCCAUUUGUGGAGGUGUUUGUUUCGUCGGGUUCACGCUCUUCGAGACUAAACAAUCGAGAGUGAGCUUCAGCGAAGCUGGUGGAUAUUCGAGCGUUAUGUUGUGAUUUGCCGUCGUGCAAUUUUUCCAGACGUUCACCGUUCACCUUGGCUUUGCUUUGGCUUUGUGCGACGACAACAAUAACGACUUGUUGUUGUUGUUGUUCGUUGUGCUGCUCGUUUGGCAUCUACCGCAAUAGUUGUAAACUACCUGAGUUACGUGUGAUUACCUGCUGAACUUAAG
rnacentral:rRNA from 1 species